GUGGCCCUGGUCGAAGGUUUCCUCCUGAGUCAGGCAGAGGAGAGAAAGCAGGAAAAGGAUUGUUUUGAGGAAAUGGACCUGGAUUCCUGUGAGGCAGAGAGGCCUCCGUUGGACACCAGAGAGAGGCCACCGGGAGACAGAAUGAUGGUGGCAAGACCUCCUGAUCCAU